GCCUCCGCGAAGCCCCGCUGAAUAGCCAGCACUUUAACCCUCGAGGUGAGAGCCAGACAUGGAGGUCUCUGUGCUGACUUUUACAGGAUGCAGAAAUUAAGGUCCAGAGAAGUUAAAAGACUUGAUCAAGGUGCAGAACCGGUAGGUGGAAGAGUCUGUCAGACUCUGGAAACCUGAGCUCCCCCCAGCAUACAGAGCUGCCAUUGCCCGGUUGAAGCAAGGCAACAGAAUCCCUGAAUAGCAGAAAUCAAAAGCCCUACAUGUUCCAAGAAUCACAAAGUUGAGGUUUACAUUUGACAGUGAUAAAGAAGAAAUGCAAGGGAGGAGAAACACGUAAGAGAAAAGCAACAGCUGGUUUGGUUUGUUUGU